AGUGGGAUAGCUGGGUCAAAUGGUGGUUCCAUUCCAAGUUUUCUGAGGAAUUCUCCAUACUGCUUUCCAGAGUGGUUGCACCAAUUUGUAGUCCCGCCAGCAAU
rnacentral:pre_miRNA from 1 species